rnacentral:rRNA from 1 species
UACGUAGGGCGUGAGCGUUGUCCGGAAUUAUUGGGCGUAAAGAGCUCGUAGGCGGCCUGUUGCGUCUGCUGUGAAAUCCCGGGGCUUAACCCCGGGCGUGCAGUGGAUACGGGCAGGCUGGAGGCAGGCAGGGGAGAAUGGAAUUCCCGGUGUAGCGGUGAAAUGCGCAGAUAUCAGGAGGAACACCGGUGGCGAAGGCGGGUCUCUGGGCCGUAACUGACGCUGAGGAGCGAAAGCGUGGGGAGCGAACAGG